rnacentral:rRNA from 1 species
CCUACGGGAGGCAGCAGUGAGGAAUAUUGGUCAAUGGGCGGGAGCCUGAACCAGCCAAGCCGCGUGAGGGAAGAAGGUACAGCGUAUCGUAAACCUCUUUUGUCAGGGAACAAAGGCGGGGACUAGUCCCCGGCUGAGGGUACCUGACGAAUAAGCAUCGGCUAACUCCGUGCCAGCAGCCGCGGUAAUACGGAGGAUGCGAGCGUUAUCCGGAUUUAUUGGGGUUAAAGGGUGCGCAGGCGGCCUGUUAAGUCAGCGGUAAAAGCCCGGGGCUCAACCCCGGCGAGCCGUUGAAACUGGCUGGCUUGAGUUGGAGAGAAGUACGCGGAAUGCGCGGUGUAGCGGUGAAAUGCUUAGAUAUCGCGCAGAACCCCGAUUGCGAAGGCAGCGUACCGGCUCCACACUGACGCUGAGGCACGAAAGCGUGGGUAUCGAACAGGAUUAGAUACCCCAGUAGUC